rnacentral:rRNA from 1 species
UGAGGAAUAUUGGUCAAUGGACGCAAGUCUGAACCAGCCAUGCCGCGUGAAGGAUGAAGGCCUUCUGGGUUGUAAACUUCUUUUAUCUGGGAAGAAACCUCCGAUUUCUAUUGGAGUUGACGGUACCAGAGGAAUAAGCACCGGCUAACUCCGUGCCAGCAGCCGCGGUAAUACGGAGGGUGCAAGCGUUAUCCGGAUUUACUGGGUUUAAAGGGUGUGUAGGCGGGCCUUUAAGUCAGUGGUGAAAUCUCCGAGCUUAACUUGGAAACUGCCAUUGAUACUAUUGGUCUUGAAUAUUGUUGAGGUGGGCGGAAUAAGUCAUGUAGCGGUGAAAUGCAUAGAUAUGACUUAGAACACCAAUUGCGAAGGCAGCUCGCUAAACAAUGAUUGACGCUGAGGCACGAAAGCGUGGGGAUCAAACA